rnacentral:rRNA from 1 species
AGUAGCCGCGGUAAAACGGAGGGUGCAAGCGUUAUCCGGAUUUAUUGGGUUUAAAGGGUCCGUAGGCGGAUCUGUAAGUCAGUGGUGAAAUCUCACAGCUUAACUGUGAAACUGCCAUUGAUACUGCAGGUCUUGAGUAAAUUUGAAGUGGCUGGAAUAAGUAGUGUAGCGGUGAAAUGCAUAGAUAUUACUUAGAACACCAAUUGCGAAGGCAGGUCACUAAGAUUUAACUGACGCUGAUGGACGAAAGCGUGGGGAGCGAACAGGAUUAGAUACCCCCGUAGUCCCUGUCUCUUAUACA